AUGGCGUCGCCGCCGCUGCUACCGUCAGGCCCUUCCUCCUUCUACUCAAGCCAGGGCGUGCUCGCAUCCUUCCCGAACCCGUGGCUCGAAUGGGAGGGAACCGGCCACCGCCUCCUCUCUCCCUACCACUCGCCGCCACCGCCGCAAACCCUAGCCCAUGGCGUCGCCGCCGCCCCCCUCCCAGCCCCCAGCACGCCACCCACCUCGCCUCCGCCCGUCGCGUCGCCUCCUCCGCCUCCUCCUCAGCCCGCGCCCGGCUUCGCCUUCUGCCCGACCGACCGCGAGCUCGUCUCCUUCUACCUCCGCCCAAGAAUCUCCGGCCAGCCCCUCCCGAACGCCGCCAAGCACUACUUCCACGAGGCAGACGUGUACGCCACAGAUCCGGCUUCCCUCGUCGCCGGCCGCCUGCCAGGCCCGGCGAAGGCUCAAGGGGAGAGCAAGAACUGGUACUUCUUCAGCCUCGUGAAGCCCAGGAGCGCCCAGGACAGCCGCAAGUGCCGGAUCGUCGGAGGAGGCAAGGGCACAUGGAAGCAAGAGCGAGGGAACGACGUCGCCGGCGCAGAGGGCCGCGCCAUCGGGCGCCUGGAGAGGUUCACGUACACGCCCAGCCCCAAGGAAGACAAGAAGCCGCCGGAGUGGCUCAUGACGGAGUUCAGCGUCGAUCAGCACGGCGACGGCGGCCAACCGACGCCGGUUCUUUGCCUCUGCAAGAUCUACCAGAGCCCGCGCUUCCUCAAGUCCGCCUCCAAGAACUCCGCGUCCGCGCGCAAGAGGAAGUCCCCCGCGGACGAAUCAUCCGCCGUCAAGCGGCAGCUCCUGUUUCCGGCGCCCCCUCCCCCACCAAUUCCGUUGUUGCCCGUCCUGUUUCCUCCGCCCCCUCCUCCCGCACCAAAUCUGCUGGCCGAAGACGACGUCUGGGCGCACAUUGGUGCGGACCCAGAAUUGAACUUUAGCGUGGAAGAGUUCACCGCUCCCUGGCCCUGCUCAAUGACGGCAGCGGCGCCGUCUCUGCUAGGAUCCGGCCAUGGAAGUCAGUGCGCUUAA
rnacentral:rRNA from 1 species